AUUCAUUCCCUGACUCAAAGUGACCUUAGAAUAUGCCUCCAAGAACAUGUAUGCAUACAUAACAGGUUGUCAAGUUGGAGCAAUUUAGGACAACUGUAGACAAUUUAGGAGAUACCCACAAGAUCAGCCCAGGAACCUAGACGAACCCUCAAUAUGCAUCAUGGAUACCAACAAGGGGAACAUCAGCCAACCAACUGUCAGUGCCGAC